rnacentral:rRNA from 1 species
CACGGGGGGAGCAAGCGUUGUUCGGAAUCACUGGGCGUAAAGGGCGUGUAGGCGGUCAGGUAAGUGGGAUGUGAAAGCCCCCGGCUCACCCGGGGAUCUGCACCCCAAACUGCCUGGCUUGAGUACGGGAGAGGAUAGGGGAAUUCCUGGUGUAGCGGUGAAAUGCGUAGAUAUCAGGAGGAACACCGGUGGCGAAGGCGCCUAUCUGGCCCGAUACUGACGCUGAGGCGCGAAAGCUAGGGGAGCAAAC